AGCAAGGUAAGCUAAACAUCUAAGCUAAUAGGUUCAUACCCUGUAAAUAGAAGUAAUAACCUUCUCCUUUCUA
rnacentral:tRNA from 1 species